GCUGGGCAUGGUGGCGCAUGCCUGUAAUCCCAGCUGCUCAGGAGGCUGAGGCAGGAGAAUGGCUUGAACCCAGGAGGCGGAGGUUGCAGUGAGUCGAGAUUGUACCACUGCACUCCAGCCUGGGCAACAGAGUGAGACUCUGUCUCAA
rnacentral:sRNA from 1 species